AAUCAACGCUGGCGGCGUGCCUAACACAUGCAAGUCGAACGAGAAAGCGGGGGCAACCCCGUGAGUACAGUGGCGAACGGGUGAGUAACACGUGACUAACCUACCCUUGAGUGGGGGAUAACCCCGGGAAACCGGGGCUAAGACCGCAUAACAUCAUUGGAUCGCAGGAUCCGGUGAUCAAAGGAGCAACACGCUCGAGGAGGGGGUCGCGGCUGAUUAGCUAGUUGGUGAGGUAACGGCUCACCAAGGCGAUGAUCAGUAUCCGGCCUGAGAGGGCGCACGGACACACUGGAACUGAAACACGGUCCAGACUCCUACGGGAGGCAGCAGUGGGGAAUUUUGCGCAAUGGGGGAAACCCUGACGCAGCAACGCCGCGUGGAGGAUGAAGUCCCUUGGGACGUAAACUCCUUUCGACCGGGACGAUAAUGACGGUACCGGUGGAAGAAGCCCCGGCUAACUUCGUGCCAGCAGCCGCGGUAAUACGAGGGGGGCAAGCGUU
rnacentral:rRNA from 1 species